AGAGAAUCACUUGAACCCAGGAGGCAGAGGUUGCAGUGAGCCGAGAUCCACCACUGCAUUCCAGCCUGGGCAACAGAA
rnacentral:snRNA from 1 species